CCUACGGGUGGCUGCAGUCGAGAAUCAUUCACAAUGGGGGAAACCCUGAUGGAGCGACGCCGCGUGGGGGAAUGAAGGACUGCGGAUUGUAAACCCCUGUCAUGGGGGAGCAAAUUAAAAAGAGAGUACCACAAGAGGAAGAGACGGCGACCGCGGGGCCAGCAGCCGCGGUAAUACAGAGGGCUCAAGCGUUGAUCGGAAGCACUGGGCGUAAAGCGUGCGUAGGCUGUUUCGUAAGUCGUGUGUGAAAGGCGCGGGCUCAACCCGCGGACGGCACAUGAUACUGCGAGACUAGCGUACUGGAGGGGGAACCGGAAUUCUCGGUGUAGCCGUGACAUGCGUAGAUAUCGAGAG
rnacentral:rRNA from 1 species